UUAAGCUUGCUUGUUCCCGGCUGCAGUGGCUGCCUUGCGGUAUGGGACGAGCGGGGCCCGAGCGGGCGGAAAUUUGAGAGUGUCAUGAGCAGUCUCUUAGUGCCCUUCAUAAGGGCAGUAUCUGUGUUUGAAAUAAGUUGAACCUUCAGCAGUUGGACUCACAUAGAGCAUUGUCUCCUCCACUGAGGUCCAUUCUGAAACAAGGAUUCUCCUUGGAACUCCAGGGACAGAACUUCCUGUAAACAUCUGGACUGUCCCCCCUGUGUGACCCAGAUGAAAAAAGAUGACCAAGGGCUUUCAGCCUCACUUAUGGGAGAGAGUGGAGUUGGGGGUAAGAGGAGUCCAAACAGAGAUUCUUAUAAUUUUCUGCAAAGAGGAAGCUUUGGAAACUGACUAAGAAUCUGUGUAAACAUAGUGAGUAAACAUGCAGACCAUUUCUCAGAACAAAAUGUGUGGACAGGGUUCCUCUGUUCUGUGGAUCCAAAGUGCCUCAUGAUGCUAAGGCAAGGUGGAUGGUGGAGACUUAGAAUGAACACAGACAUUUUCCAGGGGAAUAUUUUAACUUCCAGCCAAUCCUUUUCUUUUUAGGAUUUAACAUCAAUAUGAUCAUUUUCACUUUACAGAUGAAUGAAUUCAGGUGCAGACAUUGUGGCUCUCAGGUUUGCCCCAUGCAUCUGUGCUAAAGCCGGGGGAUGGCCCUCACCUCUCAGCAUUACCAAAUGAGCUUUCAGGCUAAUGCACUCUGAACUGGCAUCGUCUCCCAGUUGUGAGUGCUUUGAAAUAAAACAGAAGCUAUGCUACAGCUGAACAAUUCAAAUCAUUGGCAGAAAGUGUGGUAGGUAAAUGGCACUAUGAAAAAUGAAAAGCAUCUUGUUUCCUGUGAACUAAAAAUGGAUAGGUCCAAUUAUUGCCCCUUCCACACAUGAAGACUGCACAAAGUUAGUUAAUUAUAAAUAAUUCAUCCAACCAUAGAAGGGAUGAGCUAUAUGUUAUAUUACUGAGCUUUAAAAAUCUUUAUGAGUGUAGCAAGAGACACAUAUACCAACAGCUGCUAAAUUCAGAAUCCUGGGGCAGUAUCUUAUUUUAAUAUAAGGGAAGAACCACACAGUCUAUCGCUCUAGGGAUUUCCUGCUAUAUAAAAAGACCUUAAAUCUACAUGAGAUUUUACUCGUGAUUUCAAAGCACUUAAUAAAAAGCUGUUUUGUUUUGUUUUUUAAUUUGAAUAUCUUUUAACUCUACCCCCAGCCACCCUAUUUACAACACAGAUAAUGCUUUCUGGACUAGAUUGCCCAAGGCAGAGGCUUCCUUUUUUCCUCCUGCCUAUUUCCUUCUUUACUUUUUUCUUUUCUUUUCUUUUCUCAUCCUUUCUUUUGUUAAAUUCUUCAACACCUAGCUCAGAGCCCAGCACUUUGUGUUGUGUGUGCAUUGACCGUUGAGCAUGAAUGAUCACCCUCACUGCCAGAAGAGUAAAAAGUCAUAAACAUCGGAGUGGGUUGCUGAGCUCUGAGCAGAAUCAGAAGCUCUAGUUCUCCCAGUGGCUCUGCGGAACUUCUGCCUACUGCACAAUCAGGAGUUGGAGCUGUGUCUUGGGGUGACUUAAUUCAAGUAAAACCUCAGACUGGGAUGUCAGCCAGCAUUCUAAGGAGAACUUCUGUAAGAAUGUUAUGUCUUAAAAUACGUAAAUUCAAGUUCUGAGCCUUAGAACAUAAGGCAAAUAGUACCUUGCCUUACAGAAGGAUAAAGUACAAGCAAUAAAACAAGCCAAGUUGCUGCCUAAAGUCCCUUGACUGAAAUCAUAUUUGUCCAUGAUCUCUUAUUUUGGUGGACCUUUAAUAACUGGGACAAGGAUAUUGAAGAACUAAUUGCUGUGCAUUCAGCAACUGACUGUGCGUGGGUCUGCAAGGCAUGCAACCCAUGCUUGUGCAGAACCUGGAAACUUGAAUCUGGGGAAGACUUAGUUUUUCAAACUCUUGCCAUAGCCCUUCCUUGAUAGGGUUUUACCUAUGAGAGCUCAGAUGCAGAUUUCUUGAGCCACUUAAUCAAGGCCAGAUGUAUACUCUAUUCAUCCACUAGCACUGUUAGGAUGAGUUUUGCCCCAGAGUUUGGGGAGAGAUAAGCAGCUGUGAUUGUACAGAAACAGACACCAAACUUAAGCUGAAAAUUUUACUGCACAAUUGGCCAGCAGUAGUAGGCCACACCAAUAAUAAAGACAAAACCACCAAUUUAAAGCAGCAGUAGAAUCUGGGAAAUGCUCUUUCUGCAAUUGCUUUGAAUACAAAACAUCUCAGAAUUACAGGGAUUUUGCCUGCAGAGUUGCUAAUGAAGAUGUGGCUGGCAGUGUCCCUCGAGUUUGUUUAUCCAGCUGUACAAGAGUCUGUAUGACAGUAACUGGAUUUAUAAAAAUUUAAAAAUACCAAAGCCAACUUCUGAAGAAAGAAGUUUCCCCUAAGUCCACUAAAACCUUGUAUUUAUAAAUGAGAAGCUUUAUUGCUACCACAUCUGCUUAUGUAUAGGUGUGCUUUUACUUGAAAGAAAAUUGUAGACAAGGUGAAACUUAAAAGGGGAGAACAAGAUGGGCCCUUCUUCUUCCUCCCCCUCCCUGUACCAGAGGUCAACUAUGGGGUGGGGGAUAAUUUUGCCCCUCAGGGGACAUUUGGCAGGGUCUGUAAUUUUGAUUUUGAUUGUUACAUUGUGGGAUGAGGAACUGCUGGCAUCUAGAGGCCUGGAACACUCUUCAGCAUCCUAGACUGCACUAGACUGCACUAGACUGCCCCUAACCCCAAACAAAGAAUUUCCAGCCCAGAAUGUCAGUACUACAUUCUGCCCUAGCCCACUGACUCCAAAAAUUGAGUAUGUGCAAAUUGUUGGUAGUUGUUUAAAUCAGAUCUUGAAUUCUCCCCUGGUUUUUCAAUCAGCUUUUGGCCAUUAGUUCCAGAGACAGCUGUUACCAGAUUUGUUCACACAGGGCCUUCUGUUUAGCAGAUCUUGGGUCAUUUAUCUUCCCUUGACCAAAGACACCACUAAACCUAGCUAUUUCACCUCAAAUGAAAGCCUAGGCUAGGUUUCCAGGUACAACUGGCAAUAAAUCAAUGACUACAAAACAGUAAGGGGAAAAUGUGACUUUAGGGUUAUCAGAAAUCCCCUGCCAAUGUUAAAAAAAUCAUAACCCUUCACAAACACACAAACCCCUCAAACGUUUUUUUUAAUUAGCUGAGUUUUUUUCCCUUUAGGACAAUGUUUUUCAAAUUAAAAUCCUGAACCCUCCAGUAUCAGAAAGACCAAGGUGUUAUUAAAAAUGUCAGUUUCUCAAAUCUGUCCGAACCCUCUGGAUUGAGAAUUCUCGAGUGUAUGAAUUUGGUAAUCUCCGCCUUUAAAAUGCACCUGAGGUACACACCAAAUUUUGAGUUACUGUUCUAAGGCAAGGAUUCUCAUUCUUUUCUUCCCUACACAACUGUGUGUGUGACUUUGGGGGUCUCUUUGGAUGUGUACCCAAAACAUCCCCAGGCUGACAGGAGCACAGAGACCAACGGGAUAGAAGUUGGUGUUGUAGAAUAACCCAGAGACAUGUGGGUAACUAUUUCACAGCUAGUUUAAUUAUUUUAUAUGCUAAUUGUUUAUUCACACCUGAGAGGGUGAGGCAAAUAGUAUUUCUAAAACAAAAAGGAAAGAAAAGACAAUCUAGUAACGGUGGAACUUGUAUUACAUGUUUUGGGGGCAAAUUGAUUUAAGUGAAAGGUAGCAGAGAAGUUUGUACUGGGGCCUUGAGUGGCCAACUGCAAUUCUUUAUGGAUUCCCCAGAAAGCAGCUGGGAGCUGGGAGCAGAUGUGACAGGCCAUCCCU
rnacentral:lncRNA from 1 species